GGGCACUUCCGGAAUCGACCGGCUGCCUGAGUGCCCGCGCCACCCGCUACCAUGAACGAGGAGGCCAUCUGCAGCGUCCUGCCCACCAUCCCGUAACACAAGCUCGCCGACUUGCGCUACCUGAGCCGCGGCGCGUCCGGCACCGUGUCUUCUGCCCGCCACGCAGACUGGCGCGUUCAGGUGGCCGUGAAACACCUGCACAUUCACACCCCGCUGCUCGACAGUGAUUGGUCAAUUAUUGUCUGUAACAUGACUUCUGCCCAUAGGAGGACCUUCCCCAACAAUCUCCCAAAGCCUUAUGAGUAGACUGCUGCCAUGUCAUGAGGACAUUCAGGGAGCCAGUGGAGAGCCCUAUGUGACAAAGAAACAAGACCUGACAGCAACAACGAAAGUGACAUACGGAUAAAGAAGGAUGCUAAAUGAAUGCAGAUUUGAUACGGAUGAUUUCCAGCCAACUGCUGCCCUUUCUGUCCUGGCUUGAUGGCUAAUCACCAAAAUACAUUUCAGAGCUGUUCUCUUUCCUCAUAUAUUUCAUUUGAGAAUGAAUUCAUUUCUGUUUCAAAUGGUCCCAUUCGGGAAAACCUAGAUCCCAUCAACAACAGCUUGAGAAUAGAAUCGAGGAGUAGAAAGGCAAGAAAGAAGAGAGGCAUGGACAUAUAUACACUAACAAACGUAAGGUAGAUAGCUAGUGGGAAGCAGCCGCAUGGCACAGGGAUAUCGGUUCGGUGCUUUGUGACCGCCUGGAGGGGUGGGAUAGGGAGGGUGGGAAGGAGGGAGACGCAAGAGGGAAGAGAUAUGGAAACAUAUGUAUAUGUAUAACUGAUUCACUUUGUUAUAAAGCAGAAACUAACACACCAUUGUAAAGCAAUUAUACCCCAAUAAAGAUGUUU
rnacentral:lncRNA from 1 species